rnacentral:lncRNA from 1 species
GUUCUUGCCGGAAGUCGUGGCGCGCGCACAGGGGAUGUGUCUCGUUCUGGGUUGUUUCCUAGGGUGUGUUUCGGAGUCUGGAGGACCCCUGAUUCCAGACGUUGGUGUUUAAAAGUUAAGGCGAAUGUGGAAACACCCGAGGGGAACUUUCUCAUGCAUUAGCGCACCUCGAGGUGGGAGGGGAAGCGGUGACUGUCCUCCCUCCACCAGCCGUCGCGGGAACCCGUGGGGUUCAGUGAAGGGUCCAGCAGUUCAGGUGCCCGCCCCGGGCCUGGGCCUUGGCUCCGGGCUACAGUGUGAGAUCCCGGGCUAGGUGGCCCGCCUGGGGCAGGUCGCCGGGACAACCCCACCGCCCCGCAAGUCCAGCCCGGCCUCGGGCACGCCAAAGGAUUCCUAGCAAGUACAAGCUUCUGACUUCACAGAGAGGCCAUGGUAAACAUCCCAAGGAGUGCAUCAGCCAUGGGUUCAGGGAUUUCAGCCACUGCAUAGAAGACAAGCUGUAACCUAAUUCAAUCACACUUGGCAGCAACCGGUGAAGAGGCAGUCUGGGCUCUGGGGAGCUCCCCCGUGACAGAUGGAAGGGGCCCCUACAUCUGGAGAGGCUCUAGAACCUCCUCCCAGUGAGGCUAACGUGGUCUGAAGGGGUCUCUUUGCCCAGUGACAUUCUGGGGUUGGGAUCUGGGAUUUCCUCCAUUGCUUCCUUACAUCAACAUUUGCUAAAGCUCAAAAGAAGACCUUCCACGUAAUGACAUCAAACAGAUCUGAAACCACAGUUAAAGUAACGUCCACUUAACACUUGGUCAGCACUCAUGUUUCAUUUUGUGUGCCGUGGAAAGAAAUACAGGCUCCUGUGCCAUGGGAUGUUAACUCUUUUAUUAAUUUAGGGUUAACAUUGUACUUGCUUCAUUGAUUUCUCUUUCAGAGUUGUAGAUUCAAUAAACAACAUCUGGGUUCUCUCCAGCUCACAGGUGACAAGGCAAAUGCACUGUCGUCAAACAGGGGAGCAGGACAAUAUGGAGAAAGACGAGGUCGAAAAAAUUUAAGGCAAAUGUUACUUCCCUAUUCAAGGGAAUUGAUCAAGCAGAUCUGUGCAUUUCAAUGAAAAUAUAUGAAAUAUUUGUCAAAAUAAUUAACAUCGGUAAAAAUUAGAACAUGUAGCUUAUAAAAUGCCUACACAGGUUUGGCAGAAUAAAUCCAACUGUGUCAUGUAGGCUUGUAAUAUACACAGACACAGGAGUUUCCACCUUAAAAACGAGUCUUCUGAAGGGCAGAGGCCAAAUGUAUUUUAAAAGCAAUUCCAUAAAAUGGGAAGUGAUGGAUGAUUAACAAUGCAUGGCUGGCUUUACAUUUUGUUCAGAGGAAUUGCUUGGCCAUCGGGGUACCUUUUGGCUGGCCACAGAAUGCCUCCUGUUGCCUCUCCUCAGAAGGCUCUGCAUCAGGUCGAGGUGGUCGUUCAGGCCAUGAGACUCCUGAAGACACAGACAGAACACGGUAACAAGGAGAGCUCGGCUUGCUCAAAGGAGAGCGCUGCGGGGGAUAGAAUCUUCUGGUCUGGCUUUGGAAUUGGACUUUCUAAGCCACUGCUGCAGUUUCAGAAGUAGCUGACUAUGUAGAAAUAGAUACUCCGGCCCCAGUGGUCAUACAUUUUAUGCCCUCAAACCUAUCUUAUUUAUAGUCUGACCAAACCGUCCCCAGACUGCUCAGUGGCAGGCAACGAGCAGGUAGACUGCUGGCCCUUUGUCACAUGUGAGGAUGGCCCAGGGUUCGCCAGCUGGGCCGGGGAGAUUUACUACACAGCCGCAGAAAAGCACGGGGAGAAGAGUGAUGUGUGAUGCCAAGCGCCUUUCUUUUCUGCUUUGGUCUUGAAGAUUCAGUAAACUUAUGGUCCCAGAAGCUGCUCCAAAGCCAGAGCUGUGGAUUCCCAGAAUUCAUUUUGUUCCUGUUAGUUUGUCGGAAGACUGGAGCCAACAAGCAGCAUUUGAGAGGAUAUCACCAUUUUAGGAACACCUCCUUAAGAGCCACCACCCACCUGGCUUGGGUGCUCAGAGAUGCUGCUCCUGGGGAGAUAAAGCUGUCAGGUGCAGGGCGCCGCUCCUGAAACAGACUCUGGCCGACAGUCUGGAGGAAGGUGGACGGAUGGAUGGAUGGGAGUGCCUGCCCUCUGUGGGCAGCUAGGCACCCUUACCCGGCCAGGAGGCACGUGCGGCAGCAGAACUGAAUGAAGAGCUUCCGUUCGCACAGCCGGUUGGACUUCACCAUCUCGCAGAAUGUCUCGUCAGCUGGGGCCCCGCAUCAGGAAAGGCAAAAGAGGGAAAGGUCAGUCUUCGGUGCCUGUGAAGAUUGUUUCAAGGCCGGGCGCGGUGCCUCAUGCCUGUAAUCCCAGCACUUUGGGAGGCCGAGGUGGGUGGAUCACCUGAGGUCAGGAGCUUGAGACCAGUCUAACCAACAUGGUGAAACCCCGUCUCUACUAAUAAUAUAAAAAUUAGCUGGGCAUGGUGGUGGGCACCUGUAAUCCAAGCUACUCGGGAGGCUAAAGCAGGAGAACCACCUGAACCCAGGAGGCAGAGGUUGCAGUGAGCUGAGAUCAUGCCACUGCACUCCAGCCUGGGCAAGAAGAACAAAACUCCGUCUCAAAAAUAAAUAAAUAAAUACAUAAAUAAA